rnacentral:rRNA from 1 species
GCAGAGCAUCCUACGGGAGGCAGCAGUGGGGAAUAUUGCACAAUGGGCGCAAGCCUGAUGCAGCCAUGCCGCGUGUAUGAAGAAGGCCUUCGGGUUGUAAAGUACUUUCAGCAGUGAGGAAGGUGGGUAUGUUAAUAGCAUAUUCAUUUGACGUUAGCUGCAGAAGAAGCACCGGCUAACUCCGUGCCAGCAGCCGCGGUAAUACGGAGGGUGCGAGCGUUAAUCGGAAUUACUGGGCGUAAAGCGCAUGCAGGUGGUUUGUUAAGUCAGAUGUGAAAGCCCGGGGCUCAACCUCGGAAUUGCAUUUGAAACUGGCAAACUAGAGUACUGUAGAGGGGGUAGAAUUUCAGGUGUAGCGGUGAAAUGCGUAGAGAUCUGAAGGAAUACCGGUGGCGAAGGCGGCCCCCUGGACAGAUACUGACACUCAGAUGCGAAAGCGUGGGGAGCAAACAGGAUUAGAUCCCCUGGUAG